UACGAAGGGGGCUAGCGUUGCUCGGAAUUACUGGGCGUAAAGCGCACGUAGGCGGCUUUCUAAGUCGGGGGGUGAAAUCCCGAGGCUCAACCUCGGAACUGCCUUCGAUACUGGCAAUCCUGAGUCCGGGAGAGGUGAGUGGAACUGCGAGUGUAGAGGUGAAAUUCGUAGAUAUUCGGAGGAACACCAGUGGCGAAGGCGGCUCACUGGCUCGGUACUGACGCUGAGGUGCGAAAGCGUGGGGAGCGAACAGG
rnacentral:rRNA from 1 species